rnacentral:rRNA from 1 species
AUGAGCGACAAGUACAUCCACCGCUUGCUUGCUGCUAGCCCCGUUUUGGAGACCCUUGGUCUCAUGCUCAAGGGGAAGCCCGAGCGCGUCCAUGUCUGCAGCCAAAGCCUCCGGUGCUUGCUCCUUGGGUUGUCCAAGGUGGAGGAGUUCACCGUGGUGGACGCCCCGCUCUUGGAGCGCAUCAUCUUCUUCAAGCCGCCUUAUGGUGGAACCGAUUGCGUGAGGUUCAAGAUUGCUUCAGCACCCAAGCUGCGAGUGAUCGGCUACCUACAUGCAAGAAUUCACAAGCUGCAGAUCGGUAACAUCAUCAUCAAACCUGACACAAUCGCGAGCCCAUGCACUUUGGUCCCUAGUGUCGAGAUAUUGGCCGUGAAGGUGAACUUUGUUGUAUUCGGGGAGGUGAAGAUGUUGGCCAGCUUUCUAAGAUGCUUCCCCAGUGUUGGCACACUGCACAUCGAGGUCCUAGGGAAUUCAUGA